GUCUGACCUCGGAUCAGGUGGGAUUACCCGCUGAACUUAAGCAUAUCAAUAAGCGGAGGAAAAGAAACUAACAAGGAUUCCCCUAGUAACGGCGAGUGAAGCGGGAUGAGCUCAAAUUUAAAAUCUGGUAGUCUUUGGCUGCCCGAGUUGUAAUCUAGAGAAGUGUUU
rnacentral:rRNA from 1 species